rnacentral:rRNA from 1 species
GACGAACGCUGGCGGCGUGCCUAAUACAUGCAAGUAGAACGCUGAAGGAGGAGCUUGCUUCUCUGGAUGAGUUGCGAACGGGUGAGUAACGCGUAGGUAACCUGCCUGGUAGCGGGGGAUAACUAUUGGAAACGAUAGCUAAUACCGCAUAAGAGUAGAUGUUGCAUGACAUUUACUUAAAAGGUGCAAUUGCAUCACUACCAGAUGGACCUGCGUUGUAUUAGCUAGUUGGUGAGGUAACGGCUCACCAAGGCAACGAUACAUAGCCGACCUGAGAGGGUGAUCGGCCACACUGGGACUGAGACACGGCCCAGACUCCUACGGGAGGCAGCAGUAGGGAAUCUUCGGCAAUGGACGGAAGUCUGACCGAGCAACGCCGCGUGAGUGAAGAAGGUUUUCGGAUCGUAAAGCUCUGUUGUAAGAGAAGAACGAGUGUGAGAGUGGAAAGUUCACACUGUGACGGUAGCUGACCAGAAAGGGACGGCUAACUACGUG